rnacentral:rRNA from 1 species
UGGGGAAUAUUGGACAAUGGGCGCAAGCCUGAUCCAGCCAUGCCGCGUGAGUGAUGAAGGCCCUAGGGUUGUAAAGCUCUUUCACCGGUGAAGAUAAUGACGGUAACCGGAGAAGAAGCCCCGGCCAACUUCGUGCCAGCAGCCGCGGUAAUACGAAGGGGGCUAGCGUUGUUCGGAUUUACUGGGCGUAAAGCGCACGUAGGCGGACUAUUAAGUCAGGGGUGAAAUCCCGGGGCUCAACCCCGGAACUGCCUUUGAUACUGGUAGUCUUGAGUUGGUGGUAGGUGCGUGGAAUUCCGAGUGUAGUGGUGAAAUUCUUAGAUAUUCGGAAGAACCCCAGUGGCGAAGGCGUCUCACUGGCUCGAUACUGACGCUGAGGUGCGAAAGCGUGGGGAGCAAACAGU